rnacentral:lncRNA from 1 species
UUUGCUUGCAAUUAUCCCACCGAUGAAGUUAAUCGGUGUCCUCCAAUCAUCACCUCCGCAUUGCCCCCCUUAGACACCGUUUCAUAUCCUUUAUAAUCUAUAAAUUCACCGCUACAAUAUUGUCUUAUUCCAGAUGCGCACAGUAUAUCACGUUUCAUCUACCCUCUUCAUCUCAGAUAAGAAAUUAGGGUUCCUCAAAAUUUAGAUCUCCCAAAUUCCUUUCAAAUUUAAAGGGGUAAAUAUGAUGCUUAUCCAUUAUCGAAGGUCCAAAUUGAUAUUGAAAACAAUGAACAAAAUUGGGGCUAAUGUGUGAGUUUCAUAAAAUGUCCGUCAUGACCUCCGAUUUUUUACCUUAAGGCUCUGGCGACUUUGAUUUUGCAUUAAAUGACAAAAAUUUCUCUGAUCGUUCUCUAUGCUUGAUGGAGAGGGUUGUACGAGGCUAGCCUAUCCUAUCCGAUUGGGCUUGGAUUGUAAACGCCGAAGAGAAGAUAUUGAAAAGGAAAAUGGCAUAUUUACCAUGCCCCUAUUUGGAGGGAAGAACAAGGAGGAACUUGGAAGUGGCUUUACGGUUCUUCAUAGGCGUUGCAGGGACGUCCAUGUUACCGAUUGAAGACGAUGCGCCGAUGGAUGCGUAUGCCUACGCAGGGAGUGCCGCGGGGGUAGACCUCACAAUAAUGGCGCCCCUGUCUUCCGGUAAGAUCCGAUGCAAACAGGGAAUAGUUGUAAGGAUAUAAAUGAAUUAGUAUGUGUAUUGAGAAUGCAAGUGAACGAAAAAAAAUAAAAAAAGUUUGGAAAUAUAGAG